UAUGGCCAUACCACUCUGAAUGCACCCAAUCUCAUCUGAUUUCGGAAGCUAAGCAGGGUCGGGCUCAGUGAGUACUUGGAUGGGAGACCAUUUGAUCCAGCAAUCUCAUUUCUGGUCUUAA
ensembl:rRNA 5S_rRNA 5S ribosomal RNA